rnacentral:lncRNA from 1 species
CUUCAAAGUCCCAGUCCCAAGGGACUCCUCACCAGAGUCAUAAUCCAAUUGGACUCUUUAGCCAUCAUAUUUGACCAAAUCUUCUAAUGUGUAUGACCCCAUAGGUUUGAACUUAAGUCAGUAUCAUAGGAAUAACUUCUUAUACUAAUUGAUGUAACCAUCUAACAAUGAGACCCGACAUCCAGAUAGAUCGAAAGAUUGCAAAGCAACAUUCUAGAACCUACUAGCGUAUGGUUACCGUAUAAUUCAUCUUUUUG